AAAUAGAACUUUGCAGAGAGAGUUAACAGGGCGUGAAACCGUUAAUUGGCAAACGAAUCGGAGCCACGAAGUCGUUUCGUCGUUUAGCCGGAUCAGGUUCAGCCGGGCUCGCGAGGGUCCGGUGUAGUCCUGGGUCUGGCCAAACCCUGUAAGCGUACACUGCAACCAGUUAGACGAUCAGCCGUGGGCACAGCGCUGGGUUGGUCAGUAGUAGCGCGGUUGUGCUUCGGCACUUCUCGUGUUGCUGGGCCAGCCUGAGUGAACUACGGCUGAAUACUGACUGGCGAAAUGAAAAUCGCUCGCAUGAGCGUUAGAGACAAGGCACCAGCCGGAUGCGGGCCUACACGGUCGACUGUCAGGUCUAAGCUUGGCGUUUUUGAAUUCAGACUUGCUUGCUACCAGUGGGGCAACCCCUGGUGCUUGUACAGCUUCUGUCUAAUCGGGCGUCGACUUGGCUUGGCAUGGUUCGGGCGUGCUUCGAUAGGGCCUGCAUGCGAGCUGGCUCGCAAUGUGAAUUGGCAGUGAGUAGGUCGGCUUUCCGAACGACCCGUCUUGAAACACGGACCAAGGAGUCUAAUUAGGCAUCGAGUCGAUCGGUCUUGAAUAGGCCAGACAGGCCUCCCUGGGUCGACUGAAGGCGUAGAGACAAUCGUGUGAUCGGGGGGCAACAACAGCCGCCGCGCGCAACAUGUGCCUGUUCGUAUAGCAAUGUGCAAGUUGCUGGGCGGAGCAGAGAGAUGCCUGAUUGGGACCCGAAAGAUGGUGAUGCUUGGGCAAAUUGAAGCCAGAGGAAACUCUGGUGGAGGAUUGUAGCGAUUCUGACGUGCAAAUCGAUCGUCAGACCUGAGUAUAGGGGCGAAAGACUAAUCGAACCAUC
rnacentral:rRNA from 2 species